rnacentral:rRNA from 1 species
UACGUAGGGUGCGAGCGUUGUCCGGAAUUAUUGGGCGUAAAGGGCUCGUAGGCGGUUUGUCGCGUCGGGAGUGAAAACUCAGGGCUUAACCCUGAGCCUGCUUCCGAUACGGGCAGACUAGAGGUAUGCAGGGGAGAAUGGAAUUCCUGGUGUAGCGGUGAAAUGCGCAGAUAUCAGGAGGAACACCGGUGGCGAAGGCGGGUCUCUGGGCCGAAACUGACGCUGAGGAGCGAAAGCGUGGGGAGCAAACAGG